UGGGGAAUUUUGGACAAUGGGGGAAACCCUGAUCCAGCCAUCCCGCGUGUGCGAUGAAGGCCUUCGGGUUGUAAAGCACUUUUGGCAGGAAAGAAACGUCGCGGGUUAAUACCCCGCGAAACUGACGGUACCUGCAGAAUAAGCACCGGCUAACUACGUGCCAGCAGCCGCGGUAAUACGUAGGGUGCAAGCGUUAAUCGGAAUUACUGGGCGUAAAGCGUGCGCAGGCGGUUCGGAAAGAAAGAUGUGAAAUCCCAGAGCUUAACUUUGGAACUGCAUUUUUAACUACCGGGCUAGAGUGUGUCAGAGGGAGGUGGAAUUCCGCGUGUAGCAGUGAAAUGCGUAGAUAUGCGGAGGAACACCGAUGGCGAAGGCAGCCUCCUGGGAUAACACUGACGCUCAUGCACGAAAGCGUGGGGAGCAAACAGGAUUAGAUACCCUGGUAGUCCACGCCCUAAACGAUGUCAACUAGCUGUUGGGGGCCUUCGGGCCUUGGUAGCGCAGCUAACGCGUGAAGUUGACCGCCUGGGGAGUACGGUCGCAAGAUUAAAACUCAAAUGAAUUGAC
rnacentral:rRNA from 1 species